rnacentral:lncRNA from 1 species
CUGUGUGUGACAUCUCCUUUCACAGCUAAGCUCUCAGUGUGAUGGAGGGUUCUUCUCAGUGGUUUCCUCUGGACCAUGAACUAGAACCCCCCUUAGCUGACUCAAGGCCUGACAAACAGGAUCAGCAUCUCCAGACUGACAGAGACCACAUUCACACUCAUCCAGCUCUUCUGCAAGUCCAGCACAUUGAGCAGAGUCCAUCAGAGUGUCAGCUGAGCUCAGAUGCGCCUCCAGCCCACCGCUCCGUUGAUACAGCAUCUCCUCAGGAUCAGAGCCCAGACCAGCACCUGAUCCAUGCAGCAGCCGAUCAGGAUGAAGCUGAGGAGUGCGGCGGUGGCGGUAACGUCCCAGCGCUGGUAGUGACGGAGGCGGAGGAGCACUCAGCAGUGGAGGCAGCACAGAUGCCGGCAUUCCCGCUCACAAGUGUGACCACAGAGUCCAGCCCGAGCCCUGGCUGCGAUGGAGGAGACCUGAGCUGCUGUGACCUCCUGUCCCUGAGGAGUGACUCCUCUAUGAGCAGCGAGCCCGCCAGCUGCAGGAGGAGCGACGAGGACGAUACGACGAGCGUCACUGCUUCCUCUGUCAUGUCUCUGUUCCACAGGGUGCAGCUGGAUCCUCUGGAGAAGGACUGGUUGAGGAGUUCAGCUGUGGGGAACCUGCCCGCUCAGCGCCGGCUGCUCUCUCAGGAUCCCAGUCUGGUGCUGAAGAAGACAGCGCUUCACUGGGCAGCCAAGCAGGGCCGGCAGGAGGCGGCGGACAUGUUGCUUCACUCCGGAGCCGAUGUCAACGCCAGAUCAGUGAGUGUGUGUGUGUGUGCACGCUCAUACAAGUGUGUGUGUGUCUGUCUGUCGGUUCCUGUGUGUGUCUGUGCGCUCAUA